GUCGAACGGAUCCUUCGGGAUUAGUGGCGGACGGGUGAGUAACACGUGGGAACGUGCCUUUUGGUUCGGAACAACUCAGGGAAACUUGAGCUAAUACCGGAUAAGCCUUUCGAGGGAAAGAUUUAUCGCCAUUAGAGCGGCCCGCGUAGGAUUAGCUAGUUGGUGGGGUAAAGGCCCACCAAGGCUACGAUCCUUAGCUGGUCUGAGAGGAUGAUCAGCCACAUUGGGACUGAGACACGGCCCAAACUCCUACGGGAGGCAGCAGUGGGGAAUCUUGCGCAAUGGGCGAAAGCCUGACGCAGCCAUGCCGCGUGAAUGAUGAAGGUCUUAGGAUUGUAAAAUUCUUUCACCGGGGACGAUAAUGACGGUACCCGGAGAAGAAGCCCCGGCUAACUUCGUGCCAGCAGCCGCGGUAAUACGAAGAGGGCUAGCGUUGCUCGGAAUUACUGGGCGUAAAGGGAGCGUAGGCGGAUAGUUUAGUCAGAGGUGAAAGCCCAGGGCUCAACCUUGGAAUUGCCUUUGAUACUGGCUAUCUUGAGUACGGAAGAGGUAUGUGGAACUCCGAGUGUAGAGGUGAAAUUCGUAGAUAUUCGGAAGAACACCAGUGGCGAAGGCGACAUACUGGUCCGUUACUGACGCUGAGGCUCGAAAGCGUGGGGAGCAAACAGGAUUAGAUACCCUGGUAGUCCACGCUGUAAACGAUGAGUGCUAGUUGUCGGCAUGCAUGCAUGUCGGUGACGCAGCUAACGCAUUAAGCACUCCGCCUGGGGAGUACGGUCGCA
rnacentral:rRNA from 1 species